GAACGCUGGCGGCGUGCCUAAUACAUGCAAGUCGAGCGAACGGACGAGAAGCUUGCUUCUCUGAUGUUAGCGGCGGACGGGUGAGUAACACGUGGAUAACCUACCUAUAAGACUGGGAUAACUUCGGGAAACCGGAGCUAAUACCGGAUAAUAUUUUGAACCGCAUGGUUCAAAAGUGAAAGACGGUCUUGCUGUCACUUAUAGAUGGAUCCGCGCUGCAUUAGCUAGUUGGUAAGGUAACGGCUUACCAAGGCAACGAUGCAUAGCCGACCUGAGAGGGUGAUCGGCCACACUGGAACUGAGACACGGUCCAGACUCCUACGGGAGGCAGCAGUAGGGAAUCUUCCGCAAUGGGCGAAAGCCUGACGGAGCAACGCCGCGUGAGUGAUGAAGGUCUUCGGAUCGUAAAACUCUGUUAUUAGGGAAGAACAUAUGUGUAAGUAACUGUGCACAUCUUGACGGUACCUAAUCAGAAAGCCACGGCUAACUACGUGCCAGCAGCCGCGGUAAUACGUAGGUGGCAAGCGUUAUCCGGAAUUAUUGGGCGUAAAGCGCGCGUAGGCGGUUUUUUAAGUCUGAUGUGAAAGCCCACGGCUCAACCGUGGAGGGUCAUUGGAAACUGGAAAACUUGAGUGCAGAAGAGGAAAGUGGAAUUCCAUGUGUAGCGGUGAAAUGCGCAGAGAUAUGGAGGAACACCAGUGGCGAAGGCGACUUUCUGGUCUGUAACUGACGCUGAUGUGCGAAAGCGUGGGGAUCAAACAGGAUUAGAUACCCUGGUAGUCCACGCCGUAAACGAUGAGUGCUAAGUGUUAGGGGGUUUCCGCCCCUUAGUGCUGCAGCUAACGCAUUAAGCACUCCGCCUGGGGAGUACGACCGCAAGGUUGAAACUCAAAGGAAUUGACGGGGACCCGCACAAGCGGUGG
rnacentral:rRNA from 1 species